rnacentral:lncRNA from 1 species
UUUUUUUACAUGGAAUAGCCCUUUUUUUAACUGCAGAGAAGCUAGAAAAGUCCCAGUUUGCAACCUGUGGCCUAGAAAAUUUUAUUUCUUGAUCAAAACAACUAUUUAUAGAUGCUUGUGGUCCAAAGAUGCAGAUUUCUAAUCACGCCCAGAAAGAAGUGAUGUCCACUACGGGCAACCAGGGAGGGAGCUUAGGAUUGUUUCUCUACCCAUAAGAGGGUAGAGAAAGGGAAUCCACAUGUUUUGAUCCCUCCAUGUGCGGGGUAUAACUGGGUCUUCCUGAAUGUGCACCACCUUUGGUGUCAGAGAGAACUGGACUUGAAUCCCAGUUCCAUCACUCAUUAUGAAGUGAUGGUGAAUGAGUUUUUAAAUCCUCUGAGCCUCAGUUUGCUCAUCUCUAAAAGAUGGGAUUCUUAUGAAGCUUGCAUAAGAUUAGUAUGUAAAAGUCUGGGAAUAAUGCCUAUAAUUUAAAAGAUGGGGUUAUGAUGAGGCUUCAAUAAGGUAAGUGUGUAAAAACCUGGACACAAUGCCUUUAAUUUGGUAAUCGUUCAAUAUAUGGAGAAGGAGGAUUAUUUUUCUCUCCUUUAAUUUUUAGAACAAAUCCAUACAAUUGGCAUUAUUCAUAUUUUUAAGAUAAUCAAAGGGUCAGUAAGUUUAAAUAAAUCACCAUACUCACAAAGCAGUUCGCAAUAUAUUUACUGGGUAAUUGCUACUUAAAAGUAGCAAUGAUGAUCACAUUGAAAAUCUUGUAUUAUGUGGCAGUUUUCUUUUCCAUGAGCCUCUUCAUUUGUGGAAACCAUACAAUCUAAGUUGCUCUAUCAAAAUGAUCAUUAGAAAAAUGUAAUGUCCGUAGUGUAUAAAUUUUAGAAAAUUUCCUCUGUUAGUCUUGUUAAUUUGAUUGAAUAUGUGUGUUUUGGAUUAUGAAUAUGAAUAUAUAUUGAUAUAUGAAAUAAGACUUGACAUCAUAGAGUAAUCUUAGCUCAUGGCAAUGUUUUCGUCUGAAAACAGCUGCUGAACCUUGUCUUUUUUCUAGUUUCCAAAAAAAUCAGAGGCGAUGGGGCAAGGUGGGUCUUUGAAUGUCAGAUAGUGCGCGAGGUACAUUGGUAUACAGUAAUUUCCGCAUAAUUCAUAUUCAUAAUUCACAGUAAGGAAACCUGAAAGUUGCUACCGGGUACUAAUAAAUGAAAGGUGGGGCGGGCUGCUGUGGGGGCGGGGCCUUGUGAGCCAGUGCCUGGACUCGCACAGCACGUCACAAAUGGAAGGGCGGCGCGUGGGGGGAACUCAAGGCCUGAUUGAUUCCUCCUAAGCAGGACGUGAUCUGGUUGGCAGGGCAACCGACCUUCAGUUAGUGCCUUCAGUGGGUGCCUUCAGUUGGUGGCAUUUGGUUGCCUUUCCUGGGGACAGGUGGCAGGUGCUCAGCUCUGCAGGGGGGGGGCAAUUGAAGGCCCAAGCUGCCGGAGAAGAGCGGAGUUGCCCCAUGGGGACCACGCUGGCCUGUCGCAUGUGCACCAAAGCCAGCCCCAGGCAGGGCCCCCACAGGGCUUCUGCGGAGCCAUCCUGAGGCUUUGACAUCUAUGAGUGGGCGGCCAGCAAAGGCGCAGGCCCCAGCACAGAGGAGCAGAGGCGGCCGGAACACCCUGUCCCUUAAUACCAGCCCCAAGCAGAGCCACCUCAGGAUAAGGUGUUUGGAGCCGUCCUGCAGCUCUGAGAUCCACGAGGUGGCGGUGGGAGUAGCACCAGACUCCACUGAUUUGGAGCCUGCCCCGUCUGAUUCAGGAGACAUGACUAGCAGCACAUCGGCACCAGAAGACGCCAGAAGGUAGGGAGACUACAGAUACCGCUUGGCAUUAGGAGCUCUGGUGACCCAAGUAUCCACAGUCUAGGGCUCCUCCCUCCUGCCCUAGUUUGCUUUCCUAGGCCCAGGCCCCAAGCAGGAGGACUUGCUGUGACUUGACUUCCCACCCCUUCUUCUUUCCAUGUUGCAUCCAGCUGGUUACUUUUCAUUGCCCUGCCCAAAUGCCCACUUCUGGGCCCUUUUCUUCUUUUCUUAGGCCUGUCAAAACUAAGUUUUCAAAAUACAAAAAGGAUGCCACAGAUUUCAUUACGGUAGAGGAAAUGUCUGACAGCUCUUGUAUUUAAACUUAGCUAGCCACAUUGGGACUCCCAAUUUCAUAUGUUGAGUUCUAGAGCAGAGCUCUCUCUCCUAAAGUAAUGGCUGAGGGUUAGAGGUACUCUUCUUCAUUCUAAUAAUAAAAAAUGAUUUCUUGUAGAGACAGGGUCUCACUGUGUUGCCCAGGCUGGUCUCAAACCCCUGGCCUCAAGUGAUUCACUCACGUUGGCCUCCCGCUUUGUUGGGAUGACAGGCAAGAACCACCACACCUGGCCUUGGGAGCUGCUCCUGCUUUGUGUGUUUUGGCUGGUCUUCCUGCACAGCUGUCAGUAAGAUGCUCCUGCAGCAUAGUUCCAAAUCUUUCUGCACAAAUUUAGUGGAUGAUGUGAUUUUUUACAUGGAAUAGCCCCUUUAUUUAUUGCAGAGAAGCUGGACAAUUCACACUUAGUAACAUAUGGCCUAGCAAAUUUCAUUUCGUGAUCACCACACCUGUUAAAAGGUGAUGCUUGUGGUCUAAAUAUGCAGAUUCCUCAUCAUCCCCAAGAAAAAGGGAACCACAGCAAGGCAACCUGGGAGGGAGUUUAGGAUUGCUCUGAGGUAGUGCAAGGCAUUGAAAUUAACACACGAGGGGGUAGAAAAGAGAAUCCACAUGUUUUGAUCCCUCUAUGUUCUGAGUCUAACUUGGUCCUCCUUAACACGCACAAUUUUUGGCGUCAGAGAAAACUAGAUUUGAAUACCACUUCCAUCACUCUUUAUGAUGUGAUGGUGAAUGUGUUUUUAACUCGUCUGAGCGCAGUUUGCUCAUCUAUAGAAGGUAUGAUUGUUACGAGGCUUCCAUAAGGUAAGUGUGUAAAAACCAUGGCAAAAUGCUUGUAAUUUAAAAGAGAGCGUUAUUAUGAGGCUUCUAUGAGGUAAGUGGGUAAAAGUCUGGACACAAUGUCUACUAUUUUGUAAGUGUUCAAUAGGUGGACGAGGAAGAUUAUCUUUCUCUCAUUUUUUAGACCAUUAAUUUUUAGACCAAGUUUAUAAAAUUGGGGAUACUCAUAUUUCUUAGACAAUCAAAUAAAUGAUCAGAAAGACUAAAUAAAUCACCAUAGUCACAAAGCAGUUCACAAUACAUUUACUGGGUAAUUUCUAGUUAACAGUAGCAAUGAUGAUCACAUUGAAAAUCUCGUGUUUUGUGGUGGUUUUCUCUUACGUAAGCUUCUUGCUUUGUUGAAAGCAUAGAUUCUAAGCUGCUCUAUCAAAAUGAUUAUUAGAAAAAUGUGAUGUACUUUCUGUGUAAAUUUUCUAAACUUUCUUCUGUUAAUCUUGUUAAUUUGAUUGAACAUGUGUGUCAUUUUCAAAAAUGUAAAUCGAAUAUAUGUGGAUGGGAUAUAUAUGUGUACAUAUGAAAUAUAACUUCAUAUUACAGAGUAGGCUUAGCUCAUGGCAAUGUUGUUUUGUGAAAGCACCUGCAGAAAUCUCUCUUAUUUCUAGUUUGUUAAUGUUUCAGAGAUUGCGUGAGGCAGAUUUGGUUUCAGUAAUUUUAGCAUCAUUCAUUGUAAGGUGAUGAUCCCUAGUAACUGCUUCACAAUGAGAAACCUGAAAGGUCCCAGCGGUGAGCAAUGAAUGAAAGGUGGGGCGGGGCUGCUGGCAGGGCGGGGCCUUGUCAGCCAUGUGCCUGUGCUCUCAAGUGCCAAGUUUGUGGGGAUGCAUGCAGGGGAUUCUGGACCUGAUUGUUUCCUCUGAACCAGGAUGUGGUCUGGUUGGCAGGGCAACUGGUCUUCACUUGGUGGCCUUCAGUGGGUGUCCUCAUUGGUUGCCUUCAGAUAGUGCCCUCAGUUGGUACCAUCAGUUGGCGCUCUUCAGGUGGUGGUCCUCAGUUGGUGGUCUUCAGUUGUAGGGCAAUGGUGGAAGGAGGAUGAAACUGUGCUUUCUCCUCCCCCAGUCACAGCUCUCAGGCUUGCUGCCUCCGGGCCCUUCUAAAAUAAACCAGACAGGUGGCAGGAUUUUUUUAGCAGACAAGUCAGCUCAGGGUACAGGGGUGAAGCGGGUUGCGGGACGCUAGUGCAGUAUCGCCUCAUGGCCCAGGACUGCCCGUGCCAGCCAUGCCUUUGCCAGGAAGAGGCGAUAGGUGUUGAGCUCUGCAGUCGUCGGGGCAAGGGAAGGCCCAAGCUGCCUGAGAAGAGCAGGGGUGCCCCAUGGGGCCCACACUGAACUGUCGCAUGUGCACCAAAGCCAGCCCCAGUCAGGGCUGGCAAAGGCGUUCUGCAGAGCCAGCCUGUGGCUCUGACAUCUACGAGUGUGCAGACAGCGAAGGCGCAAGCUGCGAUAUACAGGACCAGAGGCACCCGGAACACGCUUUCCCCCACUGCGAGCCGCAAUUGGGCUAGCUCAGGGUGCGGUGGGUGAAGCUUUCCUGCAGCUCUGAGAUCCACGAAGUGGAGGUGGUAGUAGCGCAGGACCCCACUGCUUUGGAGGCUGCCCAAUCGAAUUUGGGAGCCAGUGAGUGUCCUGACAGCGGCACAUUGGCCACCAGAAGACCCCGAAAGGUAGGGAGGCGACGGAUACUGUUUAGAUUCAGGAGCUCCUCUGGCUGCUGAUGGCCCACGUUUCCCCCAGAGGCAUCCAAAGCCUCAGUUUUCUCAUCUAUAAAAGAUGUGAUUGUUAUGAGGCUUCCAUAGGGUGUGUAAAAACCAAGGCAAAAAUGUUUGUAAUUUAAAAGAGAGAGUUUCUGUGAGGCUUCUAUAAGGUAAGUGUGUAAAAUCUGGACACAAUACCUAUAAUUUAGGUCACUAUAACCUCUGCCUCCUGGGUUCAAGCGAUUCUCCUGCCUUAGCCUCCCGUGUAGCUGGGAUUAGAGGCAUGCGCCAUCAGGCCUGACCAAUGUUGUUCUUUUUAGGAGAGAUGGGGUUUCACCAUGUUGGUCAGGCUGGUCUCGAACUCCUGACCUCAGGUGAUCUGCUCACCUUAGCUUCCCUAAGUACUGGGAUUAUAGGCGUGAGUCACCAUCCUAGGCCAAAAAUUUCAUUCCUUGAUCAACAAACCUGUUUCCAAGGAGAUGCUUGUGGUCUAAAUAUGCAGAUUCCCAGCAUUUCCAAGAAGAAGGGAAUGACUGCAAGGCAACCUGGGCGGGAGUUUAGGAUUGUUCUGAGGCUGUGAAAGCCAUUGAAAUUCACACAUAAGAGGAUAGAGAAAGGGAAUUCACAUGUUUGAUCCCUCCAUGUACUGGGUAUAACUUGGUCUUCAUUAAGUUUGCACCACCUUUGGCAUCAGAGAGAACUGGAGUUGAAUCCCAGUUCCAACACUCAUUAGGAUGUGAUCAUGAAUGUGUUUUUAACUCCUCAGAACCUCACUUUGCUUAUCUAUAAAAGAGGGGAUUCUUAUGAGGCUUCCGUAAGUUAAAUGAGUAAAAAUUUGGGUGGACAAAAUCCUGUAAUUUAAAAGAUAGGGUUGUUAUGAGGCUUCGAUAAGGUAAGUGUGCAAAAAUCUGGACACAAUGCCUAUAAUUUUGUUAGUGUUCAAUAUAUAGAGAAGGAUUAUUUUUCUAUCAUUUAAUUUUUAGAGCAAGUUUAUAAAAUGGUGUUACUCAUCUUUUUGAGAAAAUCAGACCAAGGAUCACAAAGAUUAAAUGAGUCGCCAUAGUCACAAAGGAGUUUACAAUACAUUUCCUGGGUAAUUGCCAGUUAAAAGUAGCAAUGACGAUCACAUUUCAAAUCUUGAAUUAUGUGGUGCUUUUCUCUUACGUAAGCCUCUUUGUGUGUUGAAGCCAUAGAUUCUAAGUUGCUGUAUCAAAAUGAUCACUAGAAAACUGUGAUAUACUUAGUGUAUACAUUUUAGAAAAUGUCUUCUAUUACUCUUGUUAAUUUGAUUGAAUACAUGUGUUAUUUUCAAAAAUGUAAAUGGAAUAUGUGUGGAUUGAAUAUAUAUGUAUAUAUAUAUGAAAUAUGAUUUGUCAUUAUAGUGUAGGCAUAGCUCAUGGCAAUGUGUUUUUCUGAAAGCAGCUGCAGAAAUUUGUCUUUUUUUAGUUUGCAAAAAUUUCAGAGGUUAUGGGGGAAAGUGGGGUUCUAUGAAUCCCAGAUAGUACAUGAAGCAGAUUUGGUUUCAGUAAUUUUAGCAUAAUUCAUUGUAAGGUGAUGAUCCCUAGGAACUUCAUCACAGUGAGCAACCUGAAAGCUCCCAGCAGCCAGCAAUAAAUGAGGUGGGGCGAGUCCACUGGCAGGGCGGGGCCUUAAGAGCCUGAUGCUUGAGCUCUGAAUUCCAAGUUGGGGGGACACAUGCAAAGGAUUCUGGGCCUGAUUGUUUCCUGUAACCAGGAUACAGUCUGGUUGGCAGGGCAACUGGCUUUCACUUGGUGGCCUUCAGUGGGUGUCCUCAUUCGUUGCCUUUGGUUAGUGCCCUCAGUUGGUACCCUCAGUUGUUUCUCUUCAGUUGGUGGUCCUCAGUUGGUGGUUUUCAGUUGUUGGGCAGUGGUGGAAGGGGGAUGAAUCUGUGCUCUCUCCUCCCCAAGCCACCGCUCUCAGGCUUGUUGCAUCCAGGCCCUUCUAAAAUAAACCAGACAGGUUGGCAGGUUUUUUUUUAGCAGACAAGUCAGCUCAGAGUACGGGGGUGACACGGGGUGCAGGCUGCUAGCACAGUGCCACCCCAUGGCCCAGGGCUGCCCGUGCCAGCCAUGCUUUUGCCAGGAAGAGGCGAUAGGUGUUGAGCCCUGCAGACUUGGGUGCAAGCGAAGACCCAAGCUGCCUGAGAAGAGUAGGGGUGCCCCAUGGGGCCCACACUGAACUGUUGCAUAUGCACCAAAGCCAGCCCCAAUUGGCACAAGGGUUCACAGAGCCAGCCUGUGGCUCUGACGUCUACCAGCAUGCAGACUGCGAAGAUGCAGGCCGCGAUAUACAGGAGCAGAGGUGCCCAGAACAUGCUGUCCCCCAAUGCCAGCCACAAGUGGGGCUAUCUGAGGGUGUGAUGGGUGAAGCUGUCCUGCAGCUCUGAGAUCCACGAGGCAGAGGCAGCAGUAGCGCUGGACUCCACUGCUUUGGAGGCUGCCCAGUUGAAUUUGGGAGCCAGCAAGAGUCCUGACAGCAGCACAUUGGCCACCAGAAGACACCCAAAGGGAGAGGAGCGGAAGACCUUCUGGUGUGGGCUGGGCAGCAAUUCACUUGCAGGAGAAACAGCCCGGGUGUGGAGAGGCGGCCAACCUUGGCGGGAUCCUUUCUAAGGAGCCGAGAAAUCAACGUAGAGCUUCCUCUGUCUGAUUCUUUAACAACUGCAGACCUUCCCUGAGUCAAGCUUUGUGUCAAAAGGACAAAUUAAAAGGACCUAUAAAAGGCAUCACCAAGCCCAAUGGACAGAUGCCCCAGGCUGCAGAUUCUGUCAGUGCUGUUCUGGAAAAGGCGCAAACACAUGCUGAAACAUCGAAGGAUAAGAAGCCAGCCUUCGGGAACCGGCAGGAGCACCCUGGGCCCCGCAUGGCCCCAAGUCCAGCCUGCCCCGCCUCCUCUGGUGCAGAGGUCCAGGGACACCAGCAGCAGCCCCGCCACGCCCCCCAAGGCCAAGAACACAGGCGGCAGGGGCUUCCCCUCCCUGCCAGACUACUUCCUGCCGCCACAGCCACCACCCUUGGACGACCCAGAGCUCCCGCCGCCCCUGGACUUCGUGCUCCCUACCCCCGCGGUCGCCAAGAGGCCUCCUAUGCCCCACCCCCG